UGGGGGGCAACUCCCAGAGUCGAGCGGCGGACGGGUGAGUAACACGUGGGUAACCUGCCCGGAAGUGGGGAAUACCUCGGGGAAACUCGAGCUAAUACCGCAUGACAUCUUCGGGACGAAAGUCCUGACGAUCAAAGCGGGGUCGCAAGAUCUCGCGCUACCGGAUGGGCCCGCGCCCGAUUAGCUAGUUGGUGAGGUAACGGCUCACCAAGGCUUCGAUCGGUAACCGGCCUGAGAGGGCGAUCGGUCACACCGGAACUGAGACACGGCCCGGACUCCUACGGGAGGCAGCAGUGGGGAAUCUUGCGCAAUGGGCGAAAGCCUGACGCAGCAACGCCGCGUGGAGGAUGAAGGCCCUUGGGUUGUAAACUCCUGUCGGCUGGGAAGAAAUCAUACGGUGCUCAUACCACCGUGUGUUGACUGUACCAGCAAAGGAAGCCCCGGCUAACUCUGUGCCAGCAGCCGCGGUAAUACAGAGGGGGCUAGCGUUAUUCGGAAUUAUUGGGCGUAAAGGGCGCGUAGGCGGCUCUGCGUGUCUUCCGUGAAAUCCCUCGGCUCAACUGAGGACGUGCGGAAGAAACUGCAGGGCUCGAGUCCGGGAGAAGGGGGGUUGGAAUUCCCAGUGUAGCGGUGAAAUGCGUAGAUAUUGGGAGGAACACCGGUUGGCGAAGGCGGCCCCCUGGACCGGUACUGACGCUNAGGCGCGAAAGCGUGGGGAGCAAACGGGAUUAGAUACCCCGGUAGUCCACGCCGUAAACGAUGGGCACUUGGUUUUCGCGGGUAUCGACCCCUGCGGUGCC
rnacentral:rRNA from 1 species